rnacentral:rRNA from 1 species
CGAGCGGACAGAUGGGAGCUUGCUCCCUGAUGUUAGCGGCGGACGGGUGAGUAACACGUGGGUAACCUGCCUGUAAGACUGGGAUAACUCCGGGAAACCGGGGCUAAUACCGGAUGCUUGAUUGAACCGCAUGGUUCAAUUAUAAAAGGUGGCUUUUAGCUACCACUUACAGAUGGACCCGCGGCGCAUUAGCUAGUUGGUGAGGUAACGGCUCACCAAGGCAACGAUGCGUAGCCGACCUGAGAGGGUGAUCGGCCACACUGGGACUGAGACACGGCCCAGACUCCUACGGGAGGCAGCAGUAGGGAAUCUUCCGCAAUGGACGAAAGUCUGACGGAGCAACGCCGCGUGAGUGAUGAAGGUUUUCGGAUCGUAAAACUCUGUUGUUAGGGAAGAACAAGUACCGUUCGAAUAGGGCGGUACCUUGACGGUACCUAACCAGAAAGCCACGGCUAACUACGUGCCAGCAGCCGCGGUAAUACGUAGGUGGCAAGCGUUGUCCGGAAUUAUUGGGCGUAAAGCGCGCGCAGGCGGUUUCUUAAGUCUGAUGUGAAAGCCCCCGGCUCAACCGGGGAGGGUCAUUGGAAACUGGGGAACUUGAGUGCAGAAGAGGAGAGUGGAAUUCCACGUGUAGCGGUGAAAUGCGUAGAGAUGUGGAGGAACACCAGUGGCGAAGGCGACUCUCUGGUCUGUAACUGACGCUGAGGCGCGAAAGCGUGGGGAGCGAACAGGAUUAGAUACCCUGGUAGUCCACGCCGUAAACGAUGAAGUGCUAAGUUGUUAGAAGGGUUU